AAUAUAUCCCUGCAGUCUUAGUACAAUAGACACUGCCUUUUCUAUGAAAAGGCAGUGUUUACAUCGAUACCUAGUGGGAGUUGUGGAGUAUGGUGUGUAUAUAUAUUGUAUUCUUAUCUUGUAUUGCAUUAAUGUUUAACUUAUUUGAGUCUUUCGUUGUUUUUUAAAGGGACACUGUAGGUUUACUGAAGUGGUUAUGGUGGUAUGCUACUGUGUUGCAGUCUUACAGUUAACACUAUAGUCACCAAACCACUACAUCUUAAUGUAGUGGUUCUGGUGUCUAUAGCAUAUCCCUGCAGUCUUAGUACAGUAGACACUGCCUUUUCUAUGAAAAGGCAGUGUUUAAAUCGAUACCUAGUGGGAGUUGUGGAGUAUGGUG